UUAAAAUCCCAAUGCCUGGGUCAAGCUCCAUGCUAAAAACAUCAGAGUGUCUAGGGAUGGAAGACUAGCACCAGUCUCUUUCAACCCACCCCUCCACAGGAGCCCAUUGUGCAGCAAAAUGUGGGAACCAUUGUUGUAGGGUUCCGCUACUCAAAGUGUGGUCUGAGGACCAGCCGCGUUGGUCUCACCUGGGAGCUGGCUGGAGAUGCAGAAGUUCAGGCCUACCCUAGUCCUCCUGAAUCAGAAGCUGCAUGUUCACCAGAUCUGCAUGCUAUUCAUAUGCACGCUAAAGUUUGAGAAGUAAUGAGGCAGGGUACCAUGUUCUGAGAAAGCAAAGAUUCUAGAAUGUCCCAGCAGAAUGGUUAGGAAACACUUCUUACAAAGAGGGGGAAGUGAGAGAGAUUUUGAUGGAUGGGAGAAUUAGAGGCAGAGAGGUGGAGAGGACAAGAUCCAGGCAAGAAGGAAACUGAUCUUCGUGUAUGGUACCCAUCCUUGGCACCCCUAUACCUGAGCCUGCCCUCAUCUGACCCUCUCUUCUUCACCAGCCCCAUCGCAAGUAUACCCAGCUUUAUCCUCCACAUCAGGGGCUGAGGUGACAACAUGUCGGUAGGAGGAAUCCUUGCAGGUGAUCUGCUGGAAAAGGAGCACUUCCAGGGAGGCUUCCCCCUGCCACCCAGUGUGCUUCGGUGUCAGCGCCCGCCGCUGCAGAGGUUCUGCACGCAGGGAACAAACUCCUCUCCCUGUCGGCCUCUGCCCAGCACGCUGUGGAUGGUUCAUCUGCCACACACACAAAGCAGUGCGCUGGAAGGAAAGAUCUGGAACACUGAGCCCAGGGCUUCGCCCCAUCCAGGGCCACUUGGAUACCAUGGAUUGAGAUGGCAGGGCCACAGAACGCAAUCCACCUGGACCCUGGAGUCCCCAAGGAGCUACCCUGGAGACCAGCUGGACCCUC
rnacentral:lncRNA from 1 species